rnacentral:rRNA from 1 species
GACGAACGCUGGCGGCGUGCUUAACACAUGCAAGUCGAGCGGUAAGGCCCUUUCGGGGGUACACGAGCGGCGAACGGGUGGGUAACACGUGGGUGACCUGCCCUCAGCUCUGGGAUAAGCCCGGGAAACUGGGUCUAAUACCGGAUAUGACUUCAUGACGCAUGUUGUGGAGUGGAAAGCCUUGUGCGGCUGAGGAUGGGCCCGCGGCCUAUCAGCUUGUUGGUGGGGUGAUGGCCUACCAAGGCGACGACGGGUAGCCGGCCUGAGAGGGCGACCGGCCACACUGGGACUGAGACACGGCCCAGACUCCUACGGGAGGCAGCAGUGGGGAAUAUUGGACAAUGGGCGCAAGCCUGAUCCAGCCAUGCCGCGUGAGUGAUGAAGGCCU